AUUGAACGCUGGCGGCAUGCCUUACACAUGCAAGUCGAACGGCAGCACGGGAGCAAUCCUGGUGGCGAGUGGCGAACGGGUGAGUAAAGUAUCGGAACGUGCCCAGUCGUGGGGGAUAACGUGGCGAAAGUUACGCUAAUACCGCAUACGAUCUAUGGAUGAAAGCGGGGGAUCGCAAGACCUUGCGCGAUUGGAGCGGCCGAUAUCAGAUUAGGUAGUUGGUGGGGUAAAGGCUCACCAAGCCGACGAUCUGUAGCUGGUCUGAGAGGACGACCAGCCACACUGGGACUGAGACACGGCCCAGACUCCUACGGGAGGCAGCAGUGGGGAAUUUUGGACAAUGGGCGAAAGCCUGAUCCAGCCAUGCCGCGUGCAGGAUGAAGGCCUUCGGGUUGUAAACUGCUUUUGUACGGAACGAAAAGGUUAGGCCUAAUAAGCUGAGCUCAUGACGGUACCGUAAGAAUAAGCACCGGCUAACUACGUGCCAGCAGCCGCCGCGG
rnacentral:rRNA from 1 species